UACGUAGGGUGCGAGCGUUAAUCGGAAUUACUGGGCGUAAAGCGUGCGCAGGCGGUUCGUUGUGUCGGCGGUGAAAGCCCCGGGCUCAACCUGGGAAUGGCCGUUGAAGCUGGCGAACUGGAGUGUGGCAGAGGGGGGUGGAAUUCCACGUGUAGCAGUGAAAUGCGUAGAGAUGUGGAGGAACACCGAUGGCGAAGGCAGCCCCCUGGGCCAACACUGACGCUCAGGCACGAAAGCGUGGGGAGCAAACAGG
rnacentral:rRNA from 1 species